AGUGAACGCUGGCGGUAGGCCUAACACAUGCAAGUCGAACGGCAGCACAGUAAGAGCUUGCUCUUACGGGUGGCGAGUGGCGGACGGGUGAGGAAUACAUCGGAAUCUACUUUUUCGUGGGGGAUAACGUAGGGAAACUUACGCUAAUACCGCAUACGACCUACGGGUGAAAGCAGGGGAUCUUCGGACCUUGCGCGAUUGAAUGAGCCGAUGUAGGUUUAGCUAGUUGGCGGGGUAAAGGCCCACCAAGGCGACGAUCCGUAGCUGGUCUGAGAGGAUGAUCAGCCACACUGGAACUGAGACACGGUCCAGACUCCUACGGGAGGCAGCAGUGGGGAAUAUUGGACAAUGGGCGCAAGCCUGAUCCAGCCAUACCGCGUGGGUGAAGAAGGCCUUCGGGUUGUAAAGCCCUUUUGUUGGGAAAGAAAAGCAGCAGGUUAAUACCCCGCUGUUCUGACGGUACCCAAAGAAUAAGCACCGGCUAACUUCGUG
rnacentral:rRNA from 1 species